GACACAGCUGUUUCUAAUGGCAACGUAGCAAGGACGCCAGGUGUGACGCGGAGCUCCAUUCGUUGCUGCCGACUAACGGCACAAGCAGAAGCAUGCAGUUCAGAAGAACAGAGUGUUGUCUCCAAGUCGAACAGCACCUGCCCUGUGAAGAGGAUCAGGGCGGUUUUGACGCAAAGUUGUGGGACACGUGGACGGCUCUGCGCAACGAUGACAACCUGCUUUUGGACAGGUGUGUUUACCGUUUUAAUGCAGAGGACGCCAUAUCGUGCGCUUGAGGAGGUGUGCUUUGACUUCUGCUUCUUGUACUGCACAACGCUGACACAAGAACAUCAUUCAAAGCUUCUGAACAUGCUUUAACUUGA